UCACCCUGCAGCAGCUUGACGUCGGACACCUUGUUGAUCACGCCACGGUUCUUGUUCGCGGUGAGAUCUUCGGUGAAGUACGAGACCAUUUCCGGGGUCGCCAGAGUGUGGAGCUUGCCGAUGUCCUCGUUCGACCACGCGGUCUGAACUUCGCCGAGCAGACGCUCGAACGCAUCGUAGUCGUCCGGCUUGAUCUCAAGCGGGGCGUCGUUCGACCCGCCGCCCAGGCCGAAGCCGAAGCCCGAUCGCGCNACCGAAGCCGAAGCCGGAUCGCGCGUUGGCCAUCGGUCCCUGAUCCGGCUGCGGAGCCUGA
rnacentral:misc_RNA from 1 species